UAGGGAAUCUUCCACAAUGGGCGGAAAGCCUGAUGGAGCAACGCCGCGUGUGUGAUGAAGGGUUUCGGCUCGUAAAACACUGUUGUAAGAGAAGAAUGACAUUGAGAGUAACUGUUCAAUGUGUGACGGUAUCUUGCCAGAAAGGAACGGCUAAAUACGUGCCAG
rnacentral:rRNA from 1 species